AUUGAACGCUGGCGGCAGGCCUAACACAUGCAAGUCGAGCGGAUGAAGGGAGCUUGCUCCUGGAUCCAGCGGCGGACGGGUGAGUAAUGCCUAGGAAUCUGCCUGGUAGUGGGGGAUAACGUCCGGAAACGGGCGCUAAUACCGCAUACGUCCUGAGGGAGAAAGUGGGGGAUCUUCGGACCUCACGCUAUCAGAUGAGCCUAGGUCGGAUUAGCUAGUUGGUGGGGUAAGGCCUACCAAGGCGACGAUCCGUAACUGGUCUGAGAGGAUGAUCAGUCACACUGGAACUGAGACACGGUCCAGACUCCUACGGGAGGCAGCAGUGGGGAAUAUUGGACAAUGGGCGAAAGCCUGAUCCAGCCAUGCCGCGUGUGUGAAGAAGGUCUUCGGAUUGUAAAGCACUUUAAGUUGGGAGGAAGGGCAGUAAGUUAAUACCUUGCUGUUUUGACGUUACCAACAGAAUAAGCACCGGCUAACUUCGUG
rnacentral:rRNA from 1 species